rnacentral:ncRNA from 1 species
CAACUUGAGAGUUUGAUCCUGGCUCAGAACGAACGCUGGCGGCAUGCCUAAUACAUGCAAGUCGAACGCCUGGAGCAAUCCAGGAGUGGCGGACGGGUGAGUAACGCGUGGGAACCUGCCCAGCGGUGGGGAACAACCGAGGGAAACUUCGGCUAAUACCGCAUACGCCCUUACGGGGAAAGAUUUAUCGCCGUUGGAGGGGCCCGCGUCCGAUUAGCUAGUUGGUGAGGUAACGGCUCACCAAGGCGACGAUCGGUAACUGGUCUGAGAGGACGACCAGUCACACUGGGACUGAGACACGGCCCAGACUCCUACGGGAGGCAGCAGUAGGGAAUAUUGGACAAUGGGGGAAACCCUGAUCCAGCAAUGCCGCGUGAGUGAUGAAGGCCUUAGGGUUGUAAAGCUCUUUCGCCCGCGACGAUGAUGACGGUAGCGGGAGAAGAAGCCCCGGCUAACUUCGUGCCAGCAGCCGCGGUAAUACGAAGGGGGCUAGCGUUGUUCGGAAUUACUGGGCGUAAAGCGCACGCAGGCGGCGCGUUAAGUCAGGGGUGAAAGGCCUGGGCUCAACCCAGGAAUGGCCUUUGAGACUGACGCGCUCGAGUCCGGAAGAGGGUAGUGGAAUUCCCAGUGUAGAGGUGAAAUUCGUA